rnacentral:ncRNA from 1 species
AAUAAAUUUUUUAUGGUUUAAAAAUUUUAUUUUAAGUUUAUUUUACAUGUAAAUUUUAGUGUUGUAUAUUGAUUAUUUAAAUAAUAUUUAAUUUUUUUGCAGUAAUUAAUUUUAAAAAUUUAAGAAAUUAAGAUUUAGUAAUAUUUAAAUUAAUAACUAAUUUUGUGCCAGCAGUUGCGGUUAUACAAAAGUUAAUUUAAAAUUUUUUUAGUUAUUAAUAAUUAAUUAAAAUUAAUAAUUUAAAUUGAAGAUUAUUAGGUGAAAUUUUAAUUUUAUAAAAAAAAUUAUUUUAUAAUUAUGAUUUAUUAAAUUUUAUAAAAAACUAGGAUUAGAUACCCUAUUAUUAAAAAAUUAAAUUUAGUAAUGCUAAAAUAGUAGAUAAUUUGUUGAAACUUAAAUAAUUUGGCGGUAUUUUAGUUUAUUUAGAGGAAUCUGUUUAAUAAUUGAUAAUCCACGAAUAAAUUUACUUAAUUUAAAAAUUUUGUAUAUCGUUGUUAAAAAAAUAUUUAUUAAUAAUAAUAAUAUUUAAAAAUUUAAAUUAUAAAUUAAAUCAGAUCAAGAUGCAGAUUAUAAUUAAGAAUAUAAUGGAUUACAAUAAAUUUAUUUAAGUUGGAUUUUAAUGUGAAAAUAUUAAAUGAAAUUGGAUUUAAAUGUAAUUUUAUAAAAUUUUAUAAAAUGGUUAGUAAUUAAAAUAUGUACAUAUUGCCCGUCGCUUUCAUUUAUAAGUUGGAAUAAGUCGUAACAAAGUAGAGGUACUGGAAAGUGUUUCUAGAAAGAU